CUCAGCUGACUGCCAGGUGCUUGUUCGCUAAAAUUUAUAAAAGGAUGUGGGGGAAGAAAGACAGGGCUGGUGCUGUGAGGUUUCUUUUCUGAUUUUUGGGUUGGUGUUGGCAUGGUGAUUCAAAGGCCCUAGGUAUGAACAUCAUUUCACAGAAGUGCUGGGAAGUAUGAGAGAGCGAGGCACUGAAACAGCUUGCCCAAGAAACUGUGGAAUCUCCUUCUUAGAGGAUUUUCAAACCUUGGCCUGCUUCACAUAUGUGUUGAACAGGAAAGCCAAAAAUAUUGAAAUAGCUUUAGUGGGACAUUGAGCACCUCAAAGAAGUUGAGCACCAAAAGUAAGCCUCUAUUGUCUUUCCUAAGAUGAAGAAAAGGAGCUAACUUAAAAUAACUCAUUGCAUCCUGUCCAGGAGCCAUACAGGAGAUAUCACGGCUUUACAGUUAACACUGCAAAAGAUUACUGAGGUGAUCUAAGGCAUUUGUGGAAGAGCCUGGUCAUUGCCCACAGUGCUGAGCACAACCAUCUCUUCUGAGGGCACUGGCAAGAACCGUCCUUGCUGUGUCUGGCACCUGGGACAAGUAACCAGCGUGGUGGUCCUCGAGAUGCCCAGCUAAGAUACUUAGAAGUAAUCCCUGGAUGAUUUCCAGACAGGAUAUAGUUUGUUUCCUACAGAUCAAUACUCUGGGCUGGAGGGACUGCGCUGGUGGUUCCUCAUUUCUGCAUGAGCAUAAUUAAUUACACAGGUGAGCUCUGUGUUUAGACAUCCUUUCAUCCUUGAUCUGCCUAACAGGCACUCUGCUAGGGAUUAUCUUCCCUCCUCACUGACUAAUUUAACAACAGACUUUAUCUGUGUCAUUUGAGAUAAAGAUGAGAGACACAGUGCUUUCUAUCGGCACUCUGAGUUUUGUAGUGCUUUAAAAAAGUUCCUUUCUAACGUAAACUCCAUUAUGAAAAAUACAAAGGAAACCCCCACUGCAAGUAUUCUCAUCAAAGGAGAACUCCCCUGGUGCUGCUGAGGACAGAAAUUGUGAUGAGCUCUGUUCUGCUCUAAAUUACUAAUUGACUUUUUCUAAAGAACACCUACUAGGAAUCUUGAAGUUUUAUGGCAAAUGCUAAACAGCAGCUGUUUUCUAAUUGUUCUUCCCAUUCUGUACUCCACACAAAUAUCUUUUUGAAUAAUAAGCUAGAGACACUUCCAGUUAGAAGAUCAGUGCA